rnacentral:rRNA from 1 species
AGAGUUUGAUCCUGGCUCAGAUUGAACGCUGGCGGCAGGCCUAACACAUGCAAGUCGAGCGGUAGAGAGAAGCUUGCUUCCCAUGAGAGCGGCGGACGGGUGAGUAAUGCCUAGGAAUCUGCCUGGUAGUGGGGGAUAACGUUCGGAAACGGACGCUAAUACCGCAUACGUCCUACGGGAGAAAGCAGGGGACCUUCGGGCCUUGCGCUAUCAGAUGAGCCUAGGUCGGAUUAGCUAGUUGGUGAGGUAAUGGCUCACCAAGGCGACGAUCCGUAACUGGUCUGAGAGGAUGAUCAGUCACACUGGAACUGAGACACGGUCCAGACUCCUACGGGAGGCAGCAGUGGGGAAUAUUGGACAAUGGGCGAAAGCCUGAUCCAGCCAUGCCGCGUGUGUGAAGAAGGUCUUCGGAUUGUAAAGCACUUUAAGUUGGGAGGAAGGGUUGUAGAUUAAUACUCUGCAAUUUUGACGUUACCGACAGAAUAAGCACCGGCUAACUCUGUGCCAGCAGCCGCGGUAAUACAGAGGGUGCAAGCGUUAAUCGGAAUUACUGGGCGUAAAGCGCGCGUAGGUGGUUUGUUAAGUUGGAUGUGAAAUCCCCGGGCUCAACCUGGGAACUGCAUUCAAAACUGACUGACUAGAGUAUGGUAGAGGGUGGUGGAAUUUCCUGUGUAGCGGUGAAAUGCGUAGAUAUAGGAAGGAACACCAGUGGCGAAGGCGACCACCUGGACUAAUACUGACACUGAGGUGCGAAAGCGUGGGGAGCAAACAGGAUUAGAUACCCUGGUAGUCC